AAGGCCAGGGGGGCAGCAGUGAGGAAUAUUGGUCAAUGGUCGGGAGACUGAACCAGCCAAGCCGCGUGAGGGAUGAAGGUACAGAGUAUCGUAAACCUCUUUUGUCAGGGAACAAAGGCGGGGACGCGUCCCCGGAUGAGUGUACCUGAAGAAAAAGCAUCGGCUAACUCCGUGCCAGCAGCCGCGGUAAUACGGAGGAUGCGAGCGUUAUCCGGAUUUAUUGGGUUUAAAGGGUGCGCAGGCGGAAGAUCAAGUCAGCGGUAAAAUUGAGAGGCCCAACC
rnacentral:rRNA from 1 species